rnacentral:rRNA from 1 species
GACGAACGCUGGCGGCGUGCUUAACACAUGCAAGUCGAACGGAAAGGCCCUGCUUUUGUGGGGUGCUCGAGUGGCGAACGGGUGAGUAACACGUGAGUAACCUGCCCUUGACUUUGGGAUAACUUCAGGAAACUGGGGCUAAUACCGGAUAGGAGCUCCUGCUGCAUGGUGGGGGUUGGAAAGUUUCGGCGGUUGGGGAUGGACUCGCGGCUUAUCAGCUUGUUGGUGGGGUAGUGGCUUACCAAGGCUUUGACGGGUAGCCGGCCUGAGAGGGUGACCGGCCACAGUGGGACUGAGAUACGGCCCAGACUCCUACGGGAGGCAGCAGUGGGGAAUAUUGCAAAAUGGGCGGAAGCCUGAUGCAGCAACGCCGCGUGCGGGAUGACGGCCUUCGGGUUGUAAACCGCUUUCGCCUGUGACGAAGCGUGAGUGACGGUAAUGGGUAAAGAAGCACCGGCUAACUACGUG